GACAGAGGGUGCAAACGUUGUUCGGAAUUACUGGGCAUAAAGCGCACGUAGGUGGUCCGCUAAGUCGCGUGUGAAAUCCCCCGGCUCAACCGGGGAAAUGCGCGUGAUACUGGCGGGCUUGAGAUCGGGAGGGGUGAAUGGAACUCCAGGUAGAGCGGUGAAAUGCGUAGAUAUCUGGAGGAACACCGGUGGCGAAAGCGGUUCACUGGCCCGACACUGACACUGAGGUGCGAAAGCUAGGGUAGCAAACGGG
rnacentral:rRNA from 1 species